AAAUCUGUAAGAUAAGAAAUAUAAAGAAGUAUAUUAUUCUAUAAUCAAUAAAAAAUUAUUUGGUAUAUAAUUUUUACAGCACAGUGAAAAUGCCUAUAGUUGUAAUGCUUUAGGAUCUAUUUUACUAGCAAUUGAAUCUAAAGAGAGUAACCAGAGAUAUGGAGAAGGAGAAUGAGCUUCGACUUCUGCGCAUCGGUACACUAUGGGGGCCGCCAUUUUAUCAGUUAACCUUAAAGUUUUGUUUACCUACGAGGUUACGACGUUGUUGAACCAGUUGUAAUUUGGAGUUAAAAUUAUUACUUAAUUUGUUUUACCGUUAGUGUACGUGUGAACGUGCUUGUUAGUGUUAAAGGACAUUAUUAUUGACAACAAACAUGUCUUGUACAGUUUCUCACUGUAAAAAUUGUCAACGAUUUCGUUCAGAAGGUGUAUCUUUUCAUCAGUAAGUUUUCUUCAUUAUCUUAUUAAAAUCGAAUACGUAGAUAUUUAUAAUUAAUAACAAUUGGUUAUUGCAAUACUAUGUGAUCAAUAUUUAUUAUAUCUGAUUUUAGGUUUCCGAAAGAUCGAAAACUUUUAAAAAAGUGGCUGAUUGUUGUGAAAAAAGAUGACAGCUUCAAACUGACUAAGUAUAAGCUGGUGUGCUCAGAUCAUUUCACAACAACUGAUUUCAUUGUUGUAAAUGAGAGAAAACGAUUGAAAUCGAACGCAAUUCCCAGGGUGAAUUUAGAUGAAAGUCUAGAAGCUUCUUCAACUUCAAUGAGUACUGUGAGUGCUACUUCAGCUGAUAUUUGAGAAGAGUCUCCAUCGAUUAUACCUCAAGGUGUAAAGAGGACAUUAAGUGCUGCGCAGAGAUACCAUGGAAAAAGCAGUAGCAGUACAAGUGGAAGUAAAAGCAAGAACUCAAAAAGUAGUUCUGACAGGAGGGAAGGUGAUAAGCUGGCGUUACAUAAAGAAACUACAUGAAUUACAAAAUGAUGAAUUCCUAAAUGUUGCAAACAAGUUGAAAAAGGCACAUUUGGAGUGAUGGAAACAUAAAAUGAAAUUCUAUUAUAGGUGAGUUUAGCAGCACAAACUCUUAGCAAGAGUUGCAGAUGCACUUGAAUUUUUAAAACAUCUUGGUAUUAGUGACUUUCAAGGUUGUGAAACAACAAUAGAAUUCAUCAGAAGGAUAGAUUCUUUAUUUGAUAUUCUCAAUUCCUGAAGUGUACGUGCUAGAAUUUUAAGGCACCUUUGAGAGAAAACAAUGAAGAAAUGUGGCGUCCAUUUCUCAUCGACACCAGUGAGUAUCUUCUGAAUUUGAAGGAUGUCACUGGCAGGCCUUUGUGGUGCACGCCCCGAAAAACGUCAAUUCUGGGCUUUGUUAUUUCCGCUACGUCGUUCAUGGGAAUUUUUGAUGAAUUUGUUAGUAGUAAGAGGUUGAAUGACUUGCUAACAUAAAUGUAGUCAAGAUCAUCUAGAAAUUUUCUUCUGCUCAGUGCGGUAAGCUUUUAAAAAAACAAUUGUAUUACUUUUUUAUGCACUGGAAUUACACAAAUCUGUAUUUAUUUUUCUGUUUUCAGAUCGAGAAAUGGGUGAAACAAUAACCCUACUCCUCUACGAUUUUGUAAAACUUAGAAGAUUGCUUCUAUUUACAAACAUAACGAGGGAAGGAGGAAAUUGUAAAGUGCUUUGCACCACCUGUCUGCUCUCUGUUAGCAUUGGCCCAAAGCAAAAGAGCACAAAUGUUCAACAAUCAGUUGACGUGUUUGUCUUGAAAAAAUAUGAUCUUGAUAUUUUGACUGAAGCACUUGCAGAUCAUGACUAUGAACGUCUAAUUUUAUUGGGCUGAGUGAAGUGGCAGAAAACGUGGCAUAUAUUGGUAGCUAUGUUGUCAAAAUGCUGGUGAAGACGUUUAAGUGCGCAGACUGCAUUUCUUCUUGCAUUGAAACACGAGGAAGUGACUUACAGUUUUACAGAUUAUUGGACAAAAAAAACAUGGGUGGGCUUAUUAAACCUUUUGCUGGGGUUGUGAAGACUUGUUGUUACUGUUAAUACGAAAAAUUUUGCAACUCACCGAUAAACUUCCAAGCGAUGAACAAUUUUUUAAAACUUUCGGCAUGCCAGCAUUCUUUUUCCUAAUUUAGAAGACCCACGCACUCGAGACGGUGGCCAUCGAUGAAGGCCAUUUAUAUAUUAUUAAACAAAUAAUUAAUGCCUACAUGCGAAUAAGAAUGUUUAAUUUGAGCAAAAGACUUUCACGUCUUGCUCAAGGCACUUCUGUUAGACAUGUGUACACAUA